rnacentral:rRNA from 1 species
GACGAACGCUGGCGGCGUGCCUAAUACAUGCAAGUCGAGCGGACCGGAUUGGGGCUUGCCUUGAUUCGGUCAGCGGCGGACGGGUGAGUAACACGUGGGCAACCUGCCCGCAAGACCGGGAUAACUCCGGGAAACCGGAGCUAAUACCGGAUAACACCGAAGACCGCAUGGUCUUCGGUUGAAAGGCGGCCUUUGGGCUGUCACUUGCGGAUGGGCCCGCGGCGCAUUAGCAAGUUGGUGAGGUAACGGCUCACCAAGGCGACGAUGCGUAGCCGGCCUGGGAGGGGGACCGGCCACACGGGGACUGAGACACGGCCCAGAGUCAGACGGGAGGCAGCAGUAGGGAAUCUUCCGCAAUAGGCGAAAGCCUGACGGGGCGACGCCGCGGGAGCGAAGAAGGCCUUCGGGUCGUAAAGCUCUGUUGUGAGGGACGAAGGAGCGCCGUUCGAAGAGGGCGGCGCGGUGACGGUACCUCACGAGAAAGCCCCGGCUAACUACGUGCCAGCCGCCGCGGUAA